AUGUUUUUUAGCACACAGAGAGGCCUGACACAUUAUUACCAGUAGCCGAGUGAGAGAGAAACAGUUCUAGAGAGAGAAAGAGGGAGAGAGUUUGAUUUUUGAAUGUGAUUGUUAUUAGUAUAUUUGUCAUGCUCUCUUGUGUCUGCUAGUGUAUACAUUCAAACUUGACCUGCUAGUUUCUUAGAUUCUUCCUUUUCUUUUAUUUUCUUACAAUGAUUUCGACCGUUUGUGUCAGUUUCUGUAUUUUCAAACAAAAGCAGCUUCUGGGCAUUCCUCAUUCUCAGUGAGUGAGAGUGGGAUUCCUUUGCUUUUG
rnacentral:lncRNA from 1 species